rnacentral:sRNA from 1 species
AUCUCUUGGUACAUGAGUGGCUACCACACUGGCUACUAUAUAGUUUCCCAGGUGUUGGAGAUCGCACCCUGGGGCUUGGGCAUCCUGGGCAAGCCCCACCACUGAGCUGUAUCUCAGCCUGGCCAGUUUUUGAAGUUUAAUGUUUCGUUGAUAAUCCCGCCACCCCCUCCCAUCUCUCCCGACUGUCUGGAUGACAC